rnacentral:rRNA from 1 species
CAUGCAGUCGAACGCACAGCGAAAGGUGCUUGCACCUUUCAAGUGAGUGGCGAACGGGUGAGUAACACGUGGACAACCUGCCUCAAGGCUGGGGAUAACAUUUGGAAACAGAUGCUAAUACCGAAUAAAACUUAGUAUCGCAUGAUACCAGGUUAAAAGGCGCUACGGCGUCACCUAGAGAUGGAUCCGCGGUGCAUUAGUUAGUUGGUGGGGUAAAGGCCUACCAAGACAAUGAUGCAUAGCCGAGUUGAGAGACUGAUCGGCCACAUUGGGACUGAGACACGGCCCAAACUCCUACGGGAGGCUGCAGUAGGGAAUCUUCCACAAUGGGCGAAAGCCUGAUGGAGCAACGCCGCGUGUGUGAUGAAGGCUUUCGGGUCGUAAAGCACUGUUGUAUGGGAAGAAAAGUUAAGGUAGGGAAUGACCUUAGCCUGACGGUACCAUACCAGAAAGGGACGGCUAAAUACGUGCCAGCAGCCGCGGUAAUACGUAUGUCCCGAGCGUUAUCCGGAUUUAUUGGGCGUAAAGCGAGCGCAGACGGUUGGUUAAGUCUGAUGUGAAAGCCCGGAGCUCAACUCCGGAAAGGCAUUGGAAACUGGUUAACUUGAGUGCAGUAGAGGUAAGUGGAACUCCAUGUGUAGCGGUGGAAUGCGUAGAUAUAUGGAAGAACACCAGCGGCGAAGGCGGCUUACUGGACUGUAACUGACGUUGAGGCUCGAAAGUGUGGGUAGCAAACAGGAUUAGAUACCCUGGUAGUCCACACCGUAAACGAUGAACACUAGGUGUUAGGAGGUUUCCGCCUCUUAGUGCCGAAGCUAACGCAUUAAGUGUUCCGCCUGGGGAGUACGACCGCAAGGUUGAAACUCAAAGGAAUUGACGGGGACCCGCACAAGCGGUGGAGCAUGUGGUUUAAUUCGAAGCAACGCGAAGAACCUUACCAGGUCUUG